AUUACUCCUCCUUUCAUUUGUUUUAAAGGAGAAAGGGAGAGGCCAGAGACCAAAUGUCUCAUUUUAUCUGUAGCUGAACUUUCAGGAAGAUAAGCAGCCCAGACUUGAGUUUCUAGAUGUAUACAACCAGGUGCAUGUCCAAGGCACAGAGGGUGGUAUUUAUAACCCAUAGUAACAUUAAAUGCAGUGUCUUAUUCUCCUGGUUGGGCAGGGCAACAGUUAUCUGUGGCUCCAGGCAUCCACACACUAUUGUUAGUGUAGAUUUCUGCAGAAGCAUCUAUCCAGGUGAGAGGUUGAAUAAGUGGAGGAAAAGGCACAUAAGCCCAAUAAGAAUAUUUAUGUGUAGCAGGUAAAUCAGUGUGAGAGGAAACUGGUGAGACAGAAAGUAUAAGGAGGAGAAUCAUUAAAUAAAACUUAUUGUAAGUGAGAUUCUGAAGAAGGAAGAGAAGAACAGUGUUAAGUAUCCUGGCAAAGGAGCAUUAGGGUUACAGAUAGAAUUGAAGUUGCUCGUCAGCUGAUUGAAGAUAAGGAGAUUGGCCUGGAUUAUCCAGGUAGGCUCAAUGUAAUCAGGAAGGGCCUUUAAAGUGAGAGAGGGAGGCAGAAGAGGAAGUCAGAGCGAUGUGCUGUGAAAUCUACUACCGUUUGCUGGUUUUGAAAAUGGAGAAAAAGAGUGAGGAACUGAGAAACAUGGAUGGCCUUGGGAACGUGGAAAAGACACAUACUAACAAAAGGCCACAUGAGGACACAGUGAGAAGCUGGAAGUCUACAACCCAGAAGAGAGCCCUCAACAGAACCUAACCAUGCUGGUACCCUGAUCUCAGACAUCCAGCCUCCAGAAGAGUGAAAAAAUAUAAUUCUUAUUUCUAAGCAACCUGGUCUAUGGUAUUUCAUUAUGGCAGCCCAAGCUAAGACAGAUCCCUAUCCUAUUCACCAUGCUGCAGAGCCACAUGAGCCUCCCUUUUGUUCCUCAAGCUCAUCAAAUACCUCCUAGCCUUAGAACUUGCUAUUCCCUCUAACCAGAAUUCUCUUCCAGGUCUUUCCAUCCUGUAAGUCUUGUCCUUUAGAUCGAAAUUCACAUGUGACCUCCCCUGAGAAUGGUCCUCUGAAAACCUAUCUCAAAGAGUGUUCCCAGUUACUCUCUACCUUACCCCCAGGUUAUUAUCUUCCCACCACUUUUCCAUAUUUGUAAUCAUUUGCUUUUGUAUAUGUGUGAUAUGGUUAGGCUUAGUGUCCCUACCCAAAUCUCGUGUUAAAUUGUAAUCCCCAGGGAGAUUACAAUUUAGGGAGAGACCUGGUGGGAAGUGAUUGGAUUAUGGGGGUGGGUUCCCCCAUGCUGUUCUCGUGAUAGUGAGUGAAUUCUCAUAAGAUCUAAUGGUUUUGUAAAUGGUAGUUUUUCCUGUGCUGACUCAUUCUCUCUCCUGCUGCCUUGUGAAGAGGUGCCUUCUGUCAUGACUGUAAGUUUCCUGAAGCUUCCCCAACCAUGGGGAACUGUGAGUCAAUUAAACCUCUUUGCUUUAUAAAUUACCCAGUCUCAGGUAUUUCUUCAUAGCAGUGUAAGAAUGGACUAAUACAAUGUGUAGUUAUUUAUUUAAUAUUUGUCACCACCCCCCAAGCACAUUCACACAAUC
rnacentral:lncRNA from 1 species